rnacentral:tRNA from 1 species
GCCGGUGUAGCUCAGUUGGCAGAGCAGCUCUUUUGUAAAGAGCGGGCCGGGGGUUCGACUCCCUCCACCGGCU